UCCUACGGGAGGCAGCAGUGGGGAAUCUUAGACAAUGGGCGCAAGCCUGAUCUAGCCAUGCCGCGUGUGUGAUGAAGGUCUUAGGAUCGUAAAGCACUUUCGCCAGGGAUGAUAAUGACAGUACCUGGUAAAGAAACCCCGGCUAACUCCGUGCCAGCAGCCGCGGUAAUACGGAGGGGGUUAGCGUUGUUCGGAAUUACUGGGCGUAAAGCGUACGUAGGCGGAUCAGAAAGUUGGGGGUGAAAUCCCGGGGCUCAACCCCGGAACUGCCUCCAAAACUCCUGGUCCUGAGUUCGAGAGAGGUGAGUGGAAUUCCAAGUGUAGAGGUGAAAUUCGUAGAUAUUUGGAGGAACACCAGUGGCGAAGGCGGCUCACUGGCUCGAUACUGACGUUGAGGUACGAAAGUGUGGGGAGCAAACAGGAUUAGAUACCCUGGUAGUCCACACCGUAAACGAUGAAUGCCAGUCGUCGGGCAGUAUACUGUUCGGUGACACACCUAACGGAUUAAGCAUUCCGCCUGGGGAGUACGGUCGCAAGAUUAAAACUCAAAGGAAUUGACGG
rnacentral:rRNA from 1 species